AGGAGAGAAAGGCAUGGCCGAAGGCGGAGCUUGGUCGCCUUGGCGACUGCUGCUUCAUUCCGUUCCCAAUUCUGUGAUAUAAAUUCCGAGACGGGUUUCUUUCGUGAUCAUUAGCCCUUGGUGGAAGAACGCGGUCGCUAGCUUCAGUCAUCUAAGUGGAUUUCUUUCGGAAUGGACCGAAUGAGGGGGACUUAAAUCUUUUCAAUAUUAAUCUGGGAAGAAUGCUCCAAGGUUAGAACUGAACCUGUUCCGCACAAGCGAUAGCUGCUACCUUUUUUCGUCUGCUUUUGGAUUUGUUAUGGAUGUAGAUGGUGGGAAGCAGUCAAAAUAGCUUCAGGCACAAAUAUCCGUCGUACUUGUAGAUCAAGUCCGGAGCAGGAGAGUGCAAUCUUUUCUGUCUGACUACCACCUAAGUAAAUCCAAGAUGCGGGAUUGCGUUCCUCUGUUUGCGAGGGCCAAUUUCUUUUAUACAAGCGCAAACGACUGAUUGCCUGGCCCUGGGACUCUAUAUUUUUGCUGGAGACCAAUAUAAUUUCUGUUAUAAACUUCAGGCUUCUUGCAAGAAAUCAACUGAUAAUGGUACAAAACUUGGGAAUGUCUGGAAGAUGCAUCAGCGAUUACAACUGGAAUUAAUUCAUCAUUGAACUUUUUAUUUUUAUGUGCAAAUAAUUCUAUAGAUACCUCAUAUCCCUUGAGCACACAACUUUUGUUAACAAAAGCCAGCAUGGACAAUGUGGUGAGAUGUUUUGAAAUCCAGUAGCAUCUGGAGGACCACACUUCUAAUUUCUGCUCUAAUUGGCUGUCUUAAUUUAUGGUAUUUCUAUAUUGCUAGCUUAACAAAAAGUCCUAUCAGGUUAAUAAUAUAAAACCACAAAAACAUGUCCCCAACAAAACAACUUUUGACAUUUUCCCCAAAAAUGUUAGGGAGAUUUCAUUUGAAUAUUCAGAGAGGAAGAACUCCAAAAACAUCCCAAUGGUGACUGACAAUACAGAAUGAUUACAGAAUGCUGACUGAUUACACUACUGACAGAGGAAAUGGAAUGGAGUAUUAUGGAGAGGAGCAAAUUCUAUCCAGUCUGCUAUAAAGAGGAUUCUUCAUCUGCAAUAUUGCAUGUCUACCUUGCUUGUUACCUAUGUCUACUUAUCCUAAAUUGUUGUGGAUACAUUUGAAUGUAUACAUGUGUUUGUGCUGAGUUCAGUUUCCAUUAUUAACAUUCUUAACAAUGGUAACUUUAGAAGCUUUCUAACCAUGUGACAGGCUGGUUACUACAAGCAAAUUAUAAUAAAAAUAUUGCUGUAUAGGAAAUUCAUGCAACCCAAAUAAAAAAUUCCUUUUCUCACCCCUUGUGGGUGGUA